rnacentral:snoRNA from 1 species
UGGAUCAAUGAUGAAAGGGUGUCAUGAACCAAAGGUCACGAAUAAUCCAAUUUCAAAGAGAUUCUAC